rnacentral:rRNA from 1 species
GACGAACGCUGGCGGCGUGCCUAAUACAUGCAAGUCGAACGCUUCUUUCCUCCCGAUUGCUUGCACUCCAUUGGAAAGAGGAGUGGCGGACGGGUGAGUAACACGUGGGUAACCUACCCAUCAGAGUGGGAUAACCCUUGGUAACAGGUGCUAAUAUCUCAUAACAGUUUAUGCCGCAUGGCAUAAGAGUGAAAGGCGCUUUCGGGUGUCGCUGAUGGAUGGACCCGCGGUUCGUUAGCUAGUUGGUGAGGUAACGGCUCACCAAGUAAACGAUGCAUAGCCGACCGGAGAGGGUGAUCGGCCAAACUGGAACUGAGAAACGGCCCAGCCUCCUACGGGAGGCAGCAGUAGGAAUCUUCGGCAAUGGACGAAAGUCUGACCGAGCAACGCCGCGUGAGUGAAGAAGGUCUUCGGAUCGUAAAACUCUGUUGUUAGAGAAGAACAAGGGCGUUAGUAACUAAACGUGCCCUGACGGUAUCUAACCAGAAAGCCACGGCUAACUACGUG